rnacentral:tRNA from 7 species
GCCGGGGUGGCGUAGUUGGUAGCGCGUCGGACUCAUAAUCCGAAGGUCGCGGGUUCGAGCCCCGCUCCCGGCACCA